rnacentral:rRNA from 1 species
AUUCCAGCUCCAAUAGCGUAUAUUAAAGUUGUUGCAGUUAAAAAGCUCGUAGUUGAAUUUUGGGUUCGGUUGACUGGUCUGCCUUUGGUUUGAACUGGUCGACUGAACCUUUCCUUCUGGCGAACUUUUGUGCUAUUAAUUUAGUGCGACUGGGAACCAGGACUUUUACUCUGAAAAAAUUAGAGUGUUUAAAGCAGGCUCACGCUUGAAUACAUUAGCAUGGAAUAAUAAAAUAGGACUUUGGUUUUAUUUUGUUGGUUUCUAAGACCGAAGUAAUGAUUAAUAGGGAUAGUUGGGGGCAUUAGUAUUUAGUCGUCAGAGGUGAAAUUCUUGGAUUGACUAAAGACUAACUUCUGCGAAAGCAUUUGCCAAGGAUGUUUUCAUCA